GCAAAAGUCUCACUGGCAUUCACAGCCCCCUUAGGACAUGAUGCGGACAUUGCUUCUAUCCUGCCUGUUCCUGUUCAUCUAUUUGGCAGGAUUCUGCGAGUCUCAGAAGAUUCUGCAGUCUCAGCAGCAUGUGUCGGUGAAAUUGGAAGGAUCUGCAACUAUUCCUUGCACCCAAAGCGGCAGUGAUGCUUACAUGUACUGGUAUCGUCAGAUCCCGGGCCAGGGAUUGCAUAAUCUCUUGUACGCAGUGCACGGAGAAGACCCGACGAGGUCGGACGGGAUCACAGAGAGAUUUUUCGCCAAGAAGACAAAAGACGGCUCUUUCGACCUAAACAUAGAGAACGUGCAACCAAGCGACACGGCUCAGUAUUUCUGUGCCUGCAGUGAUGCACAGAGUCUUAGCUGGCAUCGAACGAGGUUUGGUCAGACUGCCUGCUUCUACCACACUUAA